rnacentral:misc_RNA from 1 species
UUUCCGUAGGUGAACCUGCGGAAGGAUCAUUAUUGUAUAACCGAGGUGCGAGGGCUGUCGCUGACCCGAAAGGUCGUGCACGCCCGAGUGCCCUCACGCACAUCCAUUUCACCCCUAUGUGCACCACCGCGUGGGUCCCCCUUUGGCUUGUUCGGAGGGGGGCUUACGUUUUCACACAAACUUUGUAUGCAGUGUAGAAUGUAUUUUUUGUUUUUGCGAUCACGCAAUCAAUACAACUUUCAACAACGGAUCUCUUGGCUCUC